CCUACGGGAGGCAGCAGUGAGGAAUAUUGGUCAAUGGACGAGAGUCUGAACCAGCCAAGUAGCGUGAAGGAUGACUGCUCUAUGGGUUGUAAACUUCUUUUAUAUGGGAAUAAAAUGUUCCACGUGUGGGAUUUUGUAUGUACCAUAUGAAUAAGGAUCGGCUAACUCCGUGCCAGCAGCCGCGGUAAUACGGAGGAUCCGAGCGUUAUCCGGAUUUAUUGGGUUUAAAGGGUGCGUAGGUGGUUUGUUAAGUCAGUUGUGAAAGUUUGCGGCUCAACCGUAAAAUUGCAGUUGAAACUGGCAGUCUUGAGUACAGUAGAGGUGGGCGGAAUUCGUGGUGUAGCGGUGAAAUGCUUAGAUAUCACGAAGAACUCCGAUUGCGAAGGCAGUUCACUGGACUGCAACUGACACUGAGGCUCGAAAGUGUGGGUAUCAAACAGGAUUAGAUACCCCAGUAGUC
rnacentral:rRNA from 1 species